rnacentral:rRNA from 1 species
AAACUAACAAGGAUUCCCCUAGUAACGGCGAGUGAAGCGGGAUGAGCUCAAAUUUAAAAUCUGGCGGCCUCAGGUCGUCCGAGUUGUAGUCUAGAGAAGCGUUUUCCGCGUUGGCCUGUGUACAAGUCCCUUGGAAUAGGGCGUCAUAGAGGGUGAGAAUCCCGUCCUUGACACAGAUCCCAAUGCUUUGUGAUACGCUCUCAAAGAGUCGAGUUGUUUGGGAAUGCAGCUCAAAAUGGGUGGUAAAUUCCAUCUAAAGCUAAAUAUUGGCGAGAGACCGAUAGCGAACAAGUACCGUGAGGGAAAGAUGAAAAGCACUUUGGAAAGAGAGUUAAACAGUACGUGAAAUUGUUGAAAGGGAAACGAUUGAAGUCAGUCAUGCUUCUCUGGAUUCAGCUUGUUCUACAAGUGUAUUUCCAGUUUUGCAGGCCAGCAUCAGUUUUGUUUGAUGGAAAAAGCUUGAGGAACGUGGCAACCUCGGUUGUGUUAUAGCCUCUUUGCGCAUACAUCAGAUGGGACUGAGGAACGCAGUGUGCCUUUAUGGUCGGUCUUCGGACACGUACGCACUAG